UUUAGGAGAAGUCUUAUUGUGAGGGCGAGUUAUAUAACACCAUAGGACUGGCCGUCCCAUAUGAAAAGAUUAUAUUAGAAUUGAAUGAAGCUUUGUUUAUAUAUUGAUAAUGACAGUAUAUAUAUCGUGUCUUGACUAAUUGCGUGCCAGCAGUCGCGGUAAUACGUAAGAGACUAGUGUUAUUCAUCUUAAUUAGGUUUAAAGGGUACCCAGACGGUCAAUAUAGCUUAUAAAAUGUUAGUACUUGACUAGAGUUUUAUGUAAGAGGGCAGUACUUGAGGAGGAGAGAUGAAAUUUCGUGAUACCAAAGGGACUCUGUAAAGGCGAAGGCAGCCCUCUAUGUAAAAACUGACGUUGAAGGACGAAGGCACAGAGAACAAACAGGAUUAGAUACCCAAGUAGUCUUUGCAGUAAAUGAUGAAUGCCAUAGGUUAGAUUGAUCAAUUAUAGUCUAGGGUUAGUUUAGCAAACUAAUGCCCUAUGAUAUAAUUCAAAAUAUCUGGUCUAUAAAUGAAAGUGUAAGCAUUUCACCUCAAGAGUAAUGUGGCAACGC
rnacentral:rRNA from 1 species